UAUGACACAUAUGCGUAGUUGGACCAUCCAACACCAUAGGAUCCAACCACAAUAUGUGUGAUAGU
rnacentral:pre_miRNA from 1 species